rnacentral:lncRNA from 1 species
CUCCCUCUCUCCCUCCCUUCCUACUAAAAACCAAUAAGGCUAGGGAGCCUAUCUGCAUAGUUCUGUGAAUGUCUCGGAACAAAGCAAUACACAGAAGCUAAUGCUCUCAUCCUGUGUAAGAUACAAAUCUUGUCACAUCAUGGACCAUCGUGGAGCAUGAAGCUAUUUCUAAUGUGAUGGGGGAAAUGUUUCUAGCAGAAGAGCAAGACAUGGUCCUGGUGCAUGAAAGGAGCCUAAGAAAGAAGAGUGAAAGCUGCACGUGUUCUACCUCCAGAAAGCCAUAAAAGAGAAAAGAAUGUUGUACCAAACUAAGCAAAUGAAGCAUGAAAUGAAAAGCCGGUUGAGCUGGGAGGUAUAAAGAAUGGAAAGGAAGCAGCUACCACCCCUGGUAACCCCAUCAAUCCGGAGAAGCUUCGCAGAGUUACACUGUGCUCUGUCGGAGGAAGUCUAAAAUAACACAUGGGUGUCUCGGCCUUGGCACAGCUAAACCCUGGAACAUUGAACUGAAGUCAUAACAAUGGAGCAUCCUGGCAGGCAUCCACUGUGCCAUAUGCUUUCGGGAAGUCUGGAUGCUGAAUGUGGUGGCUGUGGGGAAUUGAGCCUUAUUGCUUCAUAAGAUUCCUGGUGGUAGAACUAUUCUGAACAAGAACACGUCCGUCCCCAUAGGUGUGCUCCAAGAAUCACAGAAUAAGAAGGGACUUCGGAGAGAGCCUCACACAGUUGGGCAAUGGGAGCCCAGAGAGGCAAGGAAGGCUCCUUGCCCAAAGUCUUGUACAUCUGAAUCUGCAACUCCUGACUAUUUUUGAGUCUUAUGCUCCAGGCUAAAACUUGUGACUUUAAGUGUGAUGUUCUCGGUGAUGAUUAAUCUAGGAUGUUUCUGUUGUUUUCUUACCGUCAAAGAAUUAACAUCAAAAGGAAAGGAAGGAAGAAAUGUAGAAGUGAAGGCAAGAAGGAAGGAAGGAGGAAAGGAAGGAAGGAAAAUAUAGGCUUUGGGUAAAAAUAAGUUUCUACUCAACACUGACAAAGGUACAGGUUUUGGACAUUGGUUUCCUAAUCUGUAAAUGAGGAAUAGUCAUCACAUCGCUGUCCUGGCUGGUUUUGUGUGUCAACUUGACACAAGCUGGAGUUAUCACAGAGAAAGGAAAGAAAAUGCCUCCAUGAGAUCUAGCUGUAAAUGGAUUAGUGAUCAAGAGUGGGAGGGCCCAGUGUGGGUGGUGCCAUCCCUGGACUGGUGGUCCUGGGUUCUACAAGAAAACAAGCUGAGCAAGCCAGGGGAAGCAAGCCAGGGGAACAUCCCUCCACGGCUCUGCAUCAGCUCCUGCUUCCUGCCCUGUGUGAGUUCCAGUCCUGACUUCCUUUGGUGACGAACAGCAAUGUGAUAGUAUAAGCUGAAUAAACCCUUUCCUCCCCAAC